UACGGAGGGUGCAAGCGUUAUCCGGAUUUACUGGGUUUAAAGGGUGCGCAGGCGGAUAUGUAAGUCAGUGGUGAAAUCUCCGGGCUUAACCCGGAACUGCCGUUGAUACUAUAUAUCUUGAAUGCUGUGGAGGUAAGCAGGAAUAUGUCAUGUAGCGGUGAAAUGACUUAGAUAUGACAUAGAAUACCUAUUGCGAAGGCAGCUUACUACGCAGAUAUUGACGCUCAUGCACGAAAGCGUGGGGAUCAAACAGG
rnacentral:rRNA from 1 species